rnacentral:rRNA from 2 species
AAACGACUCUCGGCAACGGAUAUCUCGGCUCACGCAUCGAUGAAGAACGUAGCAAAAUGCGAUACUUGGUGUGAAUUGCAGAAUCCCGUGAACCAUCGAGUUUUUGAACGCAAGUUGCGCCCGAAGCCUUUUGGCCGAGGGCA